GCAGUCGUGGCCGAGUGGUUAAGGCGAUGAACUAGAAAUCAUUGGGGUCUCCCCACACAGGUUCGAAUCCUGUCGACUGCG
rnacentral:tRNA from 1 species